AUGUAAAACUAAUUUUAAAUCUUCUCUGUCAGCAUUUCAGUUGCCUGUUUGUCUUUACGUUUCUUUCCUGCGUUGCAGUUAUUCAAAUAGUCAGAAACUUACCCGUGAAACAGGAGCGUUCCCAGACAACAAAUAAUGUGUUAAAGGAUAAUGAACUCGUCCUGGUAUCUGGGAAGUUAUGCUUGCGGUGUGUUUGACUAAUCCUGUAAUAUGUGGAAUGUUUUUAGUGACUCCGGGAAAAUUCGUUUUCUCUUCCUAAAGAAUUAACGAAUUUGGAGGCUUUACUUUAUGUGGGGGUGUUGGUUUUUUUUCUUUCCUCAGACUGUCUAGUAAGAGCUGUUCAGCAAUAUUCUCUUGCUUCACCCCCACAUAACUUGCUACAGAGCCUGGAUCACUGGUGAAAGAUGUAUGUCCUUCGCAGACCAUACCUAUUGAAUAUCCUCUGAGUCUCCCCACUGGGAUCUAGACAAGAAUUUCAGUACUGCAGAAACUUCUCUGCCUCUCUCUUUGCUGAGAAGAUAAGUUUUGCAGAGUUGUGCUCUGGAUCACUGUUCAGUAGUCAGUCCUAUGUUUUAAAAUCAACUAAUGUGUACUGUUUUGGUUUUGCUCACAUAUAUAUAAAAAUGAAUGUUGUUUAUUCCGACACGGUAUAUCUUGCUCCUCCUGUAUUAUAAGACUUGAACAAUCUUUCUUGAUGUUAUUAGUCGUAAUGAACUUACCUAUGAUGUAAAGUUGUCAAACUAAUGCUUUGCAACUUAAUUUUCAUUUCAUAUAAAACAUCGGCAUAACCUGUUAGACUACAGCUCUGUUAAACUAGUCAUAGUUUAGACUACAGCUCUGUUAAACUAGUCAAUAGCAUAAAAUGCAAUUGAAACAUUGUACUUAUGUGAUAUACUUCUAUUUUACUAAAUGGUAACAUGCUUUCUCAUUUCAGGUAAUGAUUUUCUAGCCGAAUCUCCUGGGAUAAAACUGAUAAACUCCCAGGUAUCUAAUGCUAUGUGAAAAUAGUUUCUCUGGCAUCUCUUAUCAAAUCCUGAUUUAGUGAUAAAAAUAAUGGUUAAUAAUCUCACUAUGAUCCCCAAAGUAAACUGUGGGAACCAUUUUGUAAACUCCCAUUUAGAACUUCUAAUGAAGGCAUCCUUAAAUGGUAAACCAGAACUACAACAUUUUCUCGAAACAUGAAAAUAAAUUUCUUUGCAGCCAUGUAUUGCAGCUGAUUAUGUACUGCAUCAUUCACUGCUUACUGGGCGACAGACCACAGCAUAACUGAAAUGAACGGCUUUCUUGUGCCAUUGUAACAUAAUGAGUUUCUGUCUUGCUGAAGAAAGUACUAUUUGCAGUCUACCAGAUGUAUGAGAGAUGUUUCUUAAGAGAUUUAAAACAGGAUAAUGUUUUCUGCCAACGUUGAAAAGUGUUAAGAAAAUUCUGAGCAUCAAAGAUUAGAAUAAGCCAUCCAAAGCACUGGAAGAGCUUUCUUCCAGGCCUAAAAUCCCAGAAUUGGUAUUCCCCGGGGAUACCAGUCUGUUGGGUUCUGCUGGGAAGCACUACACUUCCAGUUUUCAUAUGCUUGAGUGGAAGAAAUUAACCUGGAACACUGAGAGAGCAAGAACGUGCCUGACAGAGGAGGCCUCGGCCAGCCGCAGCUGUGCAGUUGCUCCGGUGAGCAAAUGGCGUUACAGGGGCUCUGUGAAAUCCUGAACUCUGCAGGUUAAAGUGGUGUUUGCUCAGUGUUGUUACUGUUCGUUCUUCUUCAGAUGCAGAGGCAAUAAAUAUUUUCCUAACUA